rnacentral:sRNA from 1 species
CUUGGAACCUGAUAACUACAGAACGCUUUUUACGAAACGUGCAAAACUUAUUUUCUAUUAACCAAUAAAUACUCUAGUGAGUACAUUUAUGUUUUUUUACAUUGUCUGGUGCUAUAUUUUUUACUGCCAUAGAAAGAAGGGCAAACCAAUUUUGAACAAACGGUACUUACGAAAAACUAUUACGAAUAAGAAGACAAAGAGCGAAAACAGCAGACAAAGACUAAGCAUUUUUGUUGUAUUAUUGCGUUUCUGUUUACUUGUACUUUUAAUAUUCAAAAAGUGUUUUUAAGGCCUUAGAAAUUUAACGAUGGUUUUAAGGCUUGCGUUUUCCAAAUGUUCGCCAUUCCUCUACUAGAAUAAAUAAGCACGACUAUUAAUACGGAAAUUUAUAUAGACUUAUUAAACACUUCCUCUUUUGUAGUUACAAUACAUUCAGAAUUGCUCAAUAGAACUUUUCUUUAUAAUUAGUCCGGGAAAUAAUCCAGAGUAAGUUUCCGAAAUUAUUGUAUCAUAAAUAUUUUAAAAUACUUGGUUUGGAAAACAUCCAGACGCCUUUUAGGUAAUGCUUACAGAAGCCUUUUCCGGAAUGAAUUAAGAAUCCUUUUAAGGAGUGCUUACAGAUGCGUUGCACGGGAGUGUAAGAAUCUGACGUCUGUCAAAACUGGGUAUGCUUUCAU